rnacentral:lncRNA from 1 species
UUGAGCGAGAGAGAGACAUACGGUCGGGAAGACAGCAACAAAGACCAAGAGACUAAGAGACAGAGAGUCAGAGUCUCUGAGAACUGAGAAAAUGAUUCUCAUAGAGAACCAAUGAGUUGCAGAGGCUGAGAGAGGCAAAGGCGAUUAGGGUUCGAGCCGUUAGGCGCAGAGAAAUGAGAGAAUGAGAUGAUGAAGUAAUUAGGGUUUUCCAAUUUAUUUUUAUACUCAUGAAUCAUGAAAAACCACACACAUUUAUAACGUAAAACAAAAAAAUGACACACACUAACUAGACCAAAACAUGAAAACAACAUGACAUUCUCAAUAUAUGCGGGUACCCGCUAACCCGCGACCCAAAAUUUUAAAACCCGCGCCCGCCCCGCGUUCUAUCGGCGCCCAGUCAAGGUGACCCUAUGAAAGUCAAGAGGUAAUGAAGACCUAUAAGAUCUCCCAUCCGCAUGGCCCGCAACUUUAAAACUCAAUUUUUUUUGGAUCCGCACCCGCCCCGCAGCGGGCCUAAUGGGCCGGGCCCCGCGGAU